ACUCAGCAGUCAAGAUAUUAGUCAAUGCUCGCAAGAGUGAACUAGCUAACUGAAAUCACAUGUCACUUUAAUAGGUGAAGUUGAUAAAUAAGGGAAAAAAAAUGAUACUACCUUAUGUAUUAGUGUUGUCCAAAGCUUGUGCCAGAAGACUCGGUAAGGCAAGAAACGCGAACGUUAAUCGUCCUAAUCAGGCGUAAAGGGUAAGUAGGCUGCUUUAAAUUUUAUAUUUCUAAUUAGCUCUCCCUUUCUCUUAAAAACGAUAAGGGCUUCUUUUUUAGAACUAAAAAACUAGAAAAGAAAAAGGAUAAUAAUAAAAUAAAUUAAAGCUAGAAUCAUAAGGAGGAUAAGCCAAAUAAUACUUAGAGUAGGGUUGACAACUGUAGAUACUAAGGGGAGUACUAAGAGUGAAAGCUUUUUAUCUAAUAAUGAUUGACGCUGAGGAACGAAAGUGAGAAUAGGAAAUAGGAUUAGAUACCCGGGUACCUCUCACUGUAAACGAUGAAUGGUGGUUGUUAGUAAUAAUAAAACUAGUAACGAUGUUAACACGAUAACCAUUCCGCCUUGCGAGUACGGUUGCAAAACUGAAACCAAAAAAAUUAGUCGGUCUCGGAGCAAACGAAGUGGAGCAUGUUAUUUAAUC
rnacentral:rRNA from 1 species